rnacentral:lncRNA from 1 species
GUGAAGAACGUAACUACUCAGAGGGUGACGAUGAUUGCUGCAUUGUUAGUUUGCUUCUGGUCAGUCAACAAGGUUGUGUAUUUGGAUAAUUGGAAGACUGGUUAUGGGAUUCAUACCUUCUGGCCUAGGAGCUGGAGCUGAAGAAGAUGACCGUUUACUUCGCAUCCAAAAGGUCUUUCCUUUGUCCUUGGAUUGCUAAUAGAGGUUUGUGAUUUUGCUUUUAGUGAGAAGCUGAGUUUGUAGCUGUUACAUUGCCCUACUCUUGAGGGUUUUAUGCUGUUUGACAUUGCGGAUGGAAUUUUGAAUUUUCAUACGGUGGGUACUUAGUUUGACUGGUGAUUCUAGCUAUUACUUGGAUGAAAGCUUUGAUAUUUACUAGUUAUAAUGAUCUCCGAUGCUGGUUUGGCAGUAAUGCUGUAUCUAUUUUGAUCAUACACUGUAGAUAGAGUUCUGCAUUUGCAUUAGUCUGUUGCCUGGUCUUGAUGGUUAUAUGUGAUAUAAAGUCUGAUUAAUGCUUAGUAUCGGCGAAGACUUUGUCGGUUGAGUUUUCGUACAGUGAUUACUUUGUCUAGUAAUAUUGGCUAUAACUUUGUUGAAAGCUUUCAUCUUUGAUGGUUCUGGCAGUAAUGCAACUGUUGAUCGAGUUCUGCAUUUGCAUUAUCUGUGUCACUGGCUAAUGCUGAUCUUAUCUUCAACCCUUUAAGGCUUCCAUUGUUACCCCCUUCAGUGCUCGAAAUUUGUCCCUAAGAUUCAUCUUUCAGCAUUUCGUGUGCUGCAAAUAGGACUGAUUCGUAGUUGCAUUUAGCUGAUCAUUCUUUGUUUGAUGUUAUGUUAGCAAAUCACAAUUCAAGCAUGACCUGCAAAAUUUGUUUUAUGUGUUGUUCUGCUAACAUGAAAUAUGGGCCUAACUGUUAAUGGGCCGAAUGCUCUCACCCCAACAUACUUGGAUCUGGAACACCCGUGUUUCAUGGGGGCACCAACAAAGUCCAUCAAUGUCACUUACCAAUUACCAUUCAGCACAUUUUUUAUCCGAAGGUAUCAUAGCUUGAUACACAAGAGUCGGGGUAAGUACAAAAUAAAUAAUUAACCGCGAAUGCAGUAGCGGAGAUCUAAUGAACGAACAACUGGGUCGGGUAAUAUAGAGCCUCACAAGCCACUGAAUAGACGGUAUAUGCUAUUAUCCCCAAUGGGAAAUGUGAUGAAGAAACACCUUCUGCAUGGAUGAGAGUAACAAACGACUCUCCGAGAGGAUGGUACCCACCCGAAUAUCUGAGGUGUUGGAGUUUAGCAGCCUUGUAGCUUUAGCGGAGUUUGUGAAGAGGACAUGCCUUAGUUGCCACUGUGAUGCCGCAAUCAGAGCCCUGCGAAUUGCCAAGACUUCAAGGGUAAGCGGGUAUGUGAUGUGUUUGGGAAACCAUACCAAAAGCCGCACGAACUGAAAUGAUGACCUUUUUGCUUCACAUCCAAAAGGUCUUUCCUUUGUCCUUGGAUUGCUAAUAGAGGUUUGUGAUUUUGCUUUUAGUGAGAAGCUGAGUUUGUAGCUGUUACAUUGCCCUACUCUUGAGGGUUUUAUGCUGUUUGACAUUGCGGAUGGAAUUUUGAAUUUUCAUACGGUGGGUACUUAGUUUGACUGGUGAUUCUAGCUAUUACUUGGUUGAAGGCUUUGGUAUUUACUAGUUAUAAUGAUCUUUGAUGCUGGUUUGGCAGUAAUGCUAUAUCUAUUUUGAUCAUACACUGUAGAUAGAGUUCUGCAUUUGCAUUAGUCUGUUGCCUGGUCUUGAUGGUUAUAUGUGAUAUAAAGUCUGAUUAAUGCUUAGUAUCGGCGAAGACUUUGUCGGUUGAGUUUUCGUACAGUGAUUACUUUGUCUAGUAAUAUUGGCUAUAACUUUGUUGAAAGCUUUCAUCUUUGAUGGUUCUGGCAGUAAUGCAACUGUUGAUCGAGUUCUGCAUUUGCAUUAUCUGUGUCACUGGCUAAUGCUGAUCUUAUCUUCAACCCUUUAAGGCUUCCAUUGUUACCCCCUUCAGUGCUCGAAAUUUGUCCCUAAGAUUCAUCUUUCAGCAUUUCGUGUGCUGCAAAUAGGACUGAUUCGUAGUUGCAUUUAGCUGAUCAUUCUUUGUUUGAUGUUAUGUUAGCAAAUCACAAUUCAAGC